rnacentral:sRNA from 1 species
AUAAAAAUCCCCACCGCUGCGGCGGUUCCUACGCUACACCAGGGUUUUUCACGCACAAACGUAUCCGCGCACCCCAUCGCAUC